rnacentral:rRNA from 1 species
UGACCUGUCGGUAUUAUUGGGCGUAAGCGAGCGCAGGCGGUUACAUAAGUCUGAAGUUAAAGGCUGUGGCUUAACCAUAGUACGCUUUGGAAACUGUUUAACUUGAGUGCCAGAGGAGAGAGUGGAAUUCCAUGUGUAGCGGUGAAAUGCGUAGAUAUAUGGAGGAACACCGGUGGCGAAAGCGGCUCUCUGGCUUGUAACUGACGCUGAGGCUCGAAAGCGUGGGGAGCAAACAGGAUUAGAUACCCUGGUAGUCCACGCCGUAAACGAUGAGUGCUAGGUGUUAGACCCUUUCCGCGGUUUAGUGCCGCAGCUAACGCAUUAAGCACUCCGCCUGGGGAGUACGACCGCAAGGUUGAAACUCAAAGGAAUUGACGGGGGCCCGCACAGCCGGGGAAGCAUGUGGUUUAAUUCGGAGCAACCGGAAGAACCUUACCAGGUCUUGACAUCCCCUCUGACCGCUCUAAGAGAUAGAGUUUUCCUUCGGGACAAGAGGUGCCAGGGGUGCAUGGUUGUCGCCAGCCCGGGCCGGGGAAGGUUGGGUAAGUCCCGCAACGGGCCCAACCCCUAUUGUAGUUGCCAUCAUUCAGUGGGCCCUUCUAGCGGGCUUCCCGGUAAUAAACCGGAGGAAGGUGGGGAUGACGUCAAACAUCAUGCCCCUUAUGACCUGGGCUACACCGUGCUACAAUGGCUGGACAACGAGUCGCAAGCCGGUGACGGCAGCUAAUCUCUUAAGCCAGUCUCAGUUCGGAUUGAGCUGCACUCGCUACAUGAAGUCGGAUCGCUAGUAACGCGGAUAACACGCCGUGAUCUCCCCCCGGUAUAA